GAAUAAUAUAAACCACACCUUAUUUUUACUAUCUUUACACGUUAGUGGUGUGUAUUUUUCUUACAGUUUGGCAAGCCAGCGUGGAGAGGAUUUUUCAGGACUGGAAGGCGAGCAUGCUGCAUCUCCAUUUCGAUGGGACCCAAAAUCCAUGCAAAAAGUUGUCAGAGGUCUUACCUCACAGGUCUAAAGUACUGGACAGACUCAUCAUUUUCAACACACUCAAUUUUUUCAACCUUCUUCAAUCACCAUCAUUACUGGACACUUUGCUGGACUUCUUUAUCUGUUGGUGAGAUCAUUCCUUUUCUGUUUUUUCUACUUUAAUUUGAUACUUUAUUUCCUGUAUUUUUUUUGCUUUUGUUCUUUUAUUACUUUGUUUGGUUUUCAGUCACAUUACUCUACUGGACUUGUUAGGCCUAACUUUCAUGCACCAUGCAUUGCCAUCCAGACUUAUUGUUACCAUCUGUGAUUUUUUCAUUGACCUUUAUCUUUGUCUGUCUGUCAGUGUUUCGAUUUUGU